GCUUACGGCCAUAUCACGUUGAAAGCACCGGUUCUCGGCCGAUCACUAAAGUUAAGCAAUGUCGAGCCUAGUUAGUACUUAGAUGGGUGACCACUUGGGAAACCUAGGUGCUGUAAGCA
rnacentral:rRNA from 1 species